rnacentral:piRNA from 1 species
GACAUUGCUUGGUCAUGAUGUGAAAUGC